CUCCAUGAAUAAUUUUCAGUUCCCUUAUGAAGUUGCUUCUACCGGCAACCGACAAAAAAAAAUUAACAUAAUCAUCUUUGUCCAAAACUAUACGAAUUAAAAACAUAAAAAAGUAACGAAAUUAGUAAACAAAAAGGAAUGCGAAAAGUUGGUAAUUUGUUUGGUGAACUUGAGAUAAUAAGAUUAAGCAUGAGAUUUAUAUAAAUAAUCACUGAAUCAAAAAUUAAUCCAACAGAAACACAUUUGACUUCAACCAAUUCACUUCGGACAAAACAAAAAUCUUCCUUUCAAUAUGAAGUUCUUCUUAAUUACACUUUUGGUUUGUUGUGUGAUCGCAAUUGCAAUGGUCUCAGCUGCUCCAUCCGAAGAAGGAAUUUUCGGUGAUUUACCAGACAGUGAUAUUGUUAACCCACAGGAGCCAAAUGAAUCAUUGAAGUUGUUGUUGCUGAAGAAACUUAAGCUUAAGUUAUUGAAGGGUUAAGCUUUCGAAAGAUUGGUUUUGUUUAUAAUCUUAAGAACCUAGAAAUAAUAUAAGACUAUUUUAAGCUGUUGUUACAAUAAAUGUUAUUUAAAAAAAAUA